UACGGAGGAUGCGAGCGUUAUCCGGAUUUAUUGGGUUUAAAGGGUGCGUAGGCGGAACAUUAAGUCAGCGGUAAAAUCGAGGGGCUCAACCCCUUUAAGCCGUUGAAACUGGCGGCCUCGAGUGGGCGAGAAGUAUGCGGAAUGCGUGGUGUAGCGGUGAAAUGCAUAGAUAUCACGCAGAACUCCGAUUGCGAAGGCAGCAUACCGGCGCCCUACUGACGCUGAGGCACGAAAGUGCGGGUAUCGAACAGG
rnacentral:rRNA from 1 species